rnacentral:rRNA from 1 species
AUUGAACGCUGGCGGCAGGCUUAACACAUGCAAGUCGAACGAGUGGCGGACGGGUGAGUAACGUCUGGGAAACUGCCUGAUGGAGGGGGAUCACUACUGGAAACGGUAGCUAAUACCGCCUACUCUCAGCUGUGCCUAGGUGGGAUUAGCUUGUUGGUGGGGUAACGGCUCACCAAGGCGAUGAUCCCUAGCUGGUCUGAGAGGAUGAACGGCCACACUGGAACUGAGACACGGUCCAGACUCCUACGGGAGGCAGCAGUGGGGAAUAUUCCACAAUGGACGCAAGCCUGAUGCAGCCAUGCCGCGUGUAUGAAGAAGGCCUUCGGGUUGUAAAGUACUUUCAGCGGGGAGGCGUUACCCGCAGAAGAAGCACCGGCUAACUCCGUGCCAGCAGCCGCGGUAAUAC